rnacentral:rRNA from 1 species
UACGUAGGGUGCAAGCGUUAAUCGGAAUUACUGGGCGUAAAGCGUGCGCAGGCGGUUUUGUAAGUCUGUUGUGAAAUCCCCGGGCUCAACCUGGGAAUGGCAAUGGAGACUGCAAGGCUAGAGUUUGGCAGAGGGGGGUAGAAUUCCACGUGUAGCAGUGAAAUGCGUAGAUAUGUGGAGGAACACCGAUGGCGAAGGCAGCCCCCUGGGUCAAACCUGACGCUCAUGCACGAAAGCGUGGGGAGCAAACAGG